CCUACGGGAGGCAGCAGUGAGGAAUAUUGGUCAAUGGGCGUAAGCCUGAACCAGCCAAGUCGCGUGAGGGAUGAAGGCUCUAUGGAUUGUAAACCUCUUUUAUAAGGGAAUAAAGUGUGGGACGUGUCGUGUUUUGUAUGUACCUUAUGAAUAAGGACCGGCUAAUUCCGUGCCAGCAGCCGCGGUAAUACGGAGGAUCCGAGCGUUAUCCGGAUUUAUUGGGUUUAAAGGGAGCGUAGAUGGGUUGUUAAGUCAGUUGUGAAAGUUUGCGGCUCAACCCUAAAAUUGCAAUUGAUACUGGCAGUCGUGAGUGCAGUUGAGGUAGGCGGAAUUCGUGGUGUAGCGGUGAAAUGCUUAGAUAUCACGAAGAACUCCGAUUGCGAAGGCAGCUUACUAAACUGCAACUGACAUUGAUGCUCGAAAGUGUGGGUAUCGAACAGGAUUAGAUACCCUGGUAGUC
rnacentral:rRNA from 1 species